GGGCCCGCACAAGCGGUGGAGUAUGUGGUUUAAUUCGAUGCAACGCGAAGAACCUUACCAGGGCUUGACAUCCUGCGAAUCUCUGGGAAACCGGAGAGUGCCUUCGGGAACGCAGUGACAGGUGGUGCAUGGCUGUCGUCAGCUCGUGUCGUGAGAUGUUGGGUUAAGUCCCGCAACGAGCGCAACCCACGUCUUUAGUUGCCAGCAUUUAGUUGGGCACUCUAGAGAGACUGCCGGUGAUAAACCGGAGAAGGUGUGGAUGACGUCAAGUCAUCAUGCCCCUUACAUCUGGGCUACACACGUACUACAAUGCUACGGACAAAGGGCAGCAAACUCGCGAGAGCUAGCAAAUCCCAUAAACGUGGCUC
rnacentral:rRNA from 1 species